rnacentral:rRNA from 1 species
AUUGAACGCUGGCGGCAUGCUUUACACAUGCAAGUCGAACAGUAACAGGCCGCAAGGUGCUGACGAGUGGCGAACGGGUGAGUAAUGCAUCGGAACGUGCCCAGUCGUGGGGGAUAACUACUCGAAAGAGUAGCUAAUACCGCAUACGAUCUAUGGAUGAAAGCGGGGGACCGUAAGGCCUCGCGCGAUUGGAGCGGCCGAUGUCAGAUUAGGUAGUUGGUGGGGUAAAGGCUCACCAAGCCAACGAUCUGUAGCUGGUCUGAGAGGACGACCAGCCACACUGGGACUGAGACACGGCCCAGACUCCUACGGGAGGCAGCAGUGGGGAAUUUUGGACAAUGGGCGCAAGCCUGAUCCAGCAAUGCCGCGUGCAGGAAGAAGGCCUUCGGGUUGUAAACUGCUUUUGUACGGAACGAAACGGCUCUGGUUAAUACCCGGGGCUAAUGACGGUACCGUAAGAAUAAGCACCGGCUAACUACGUG